UUUUGCAAGCAAUUAUUAAGUGAUUUGAAUUAUGCACAAAGUUGGUAAGCGUUUUCCUCCAGAAAAAUUACAUCAACCAUGAAUUGGAUGGAUUGUCUAUAAUCUACUUUUCGUUUUGGGGAUGGAGUAAGCAAGCAGAAGGGAACUGAAACAUGAAGAUGAGAAGGUAACUGUUAUAUCCACAAUUUCAUGAUAAGAAUGGACCUUGAGUCUAACUAACCCCAAAAGCUAGCUUAUGACUUGAGGAUUUCCCAAGCCAUAUAAGGAGACCAAGGACCUCAAAUCCAUCCGAUGUGAGACAACUCAACACUCCUCUCACGCCCAGAUCUCUGGAGCGUGGACAACAUAAAUGGGGGCCAAACAUCGGUAACAAUAAUNNNNNNNNNNNNNNNNNNNNNGGAGCGUGGACAACAUAAAUGGGGGCCCAACAUCGGUAACAAUAAUUAGGAUGGGCCUGGCUCUGAUACCAUGAUAAGAAUGGACAUUGGAUCUAACUCAACCCCAAAAGCUAGCUUAUGAGGUGAGGAUUGCCCAAGCCAUAUAAGGAGACCAAAGACCUCAAAUCACUCCGAUGUGGGACAACUCAACAUUCCAUUGCGUUCAUACUUGACUUUUUCUUUACAUUAGAAUUUGGAGCUUGCAAAAUUUUGGAUAGGAUAGCUUUUGGUAUUGUGGAAAUCGUAGUUUUCCUUGAAGUUGAGUGAGAGGCUAUAUGCUAUUGUGAAUUUUUGUCAUUGAGUAAUUAUGCCUUAUUUUGGUUAUCAUUUUCUCAUUCUUUGGAUAUGACCUAUUGUAGAUAUUUUGGUAUAUGCGAGAAUAAAGAUCAAAUGUUUUAAGAGAAGUCACAAAGAUUUUCAAAAUACAUCUACAAGUCUGAUAUCUCCUAAUAGAAAGCAUGCAGCCAUAUAAAACUCCAUCAUGGCAAGUUUUGUUUAUUUUUGCUCAAAGAGAAAUGAUUUUUCAGGUUUUCA
rnacentral:lncRNA from 1 species